UACGUAGGGCGCAAGCGUUGUCCGGAAUUAUUGGGCGUAAAGAGCUCGUAGGCGGCCAGUUGCGUCUGCUGUGAAAUCCCGGGGCUCAACCCCGGGCGUGCAGUGGAUACGGGCUGGCUAGAGGCAGGCAGGGGAGAACGGAAUUCCCGGUGUAGCGGUGAAAUGCGCAGAUAUCGGGAGGAACACCGGUGGCGAAGGCGGUUCUCUGGGCCAUUACUGACGCUGAGGAGCGAAAGCGUGGGGAGCGAACAGG
rnacentral:rRNA from 1 species